AGCGAACGCUGGCGGCAGGCCUAACACAUGCAAGUCGAACGGAUCCUUCGGGAUUAGUGGCGGACGGGUGAGUAACACGUGGGAACGUGCCCUUUGGUUCGGAACAACCCAGGGAAACUUGAGCUAAUACCGGAUGUGCCCUUCGGGGGAAAGAUUUAUCGCCAUUGGAGCGGCCCGCGUCUGACUAGCUAGUUGGUGAGGUAACGGCCCACCAAGGCGACGAUCAGUAGCUGGUCUGAGAGGAUGAUCAGCCACACUGGGACUGAGACACGGCCCAGACUCCUACGGGAGGCAGCAGUGGGGAAUCUUGCGCAAUGGGCGAAAGCCUGACGCAGCCAUGCCGCGUGAAUGAUGAAGGUCUUAGGAUUGUAAAAUUCUUUCAGCGGGGACGAUAAUGACGGUACCCGCAGAAGAAGCUCCGGCUAACUUCGUG
rnacentral:rRNA from 1 species